AUUGAACGCUGGCGGCAUGCCUUACACAUGCAAGUCGAACGGCAGCACGGGAGCAAUCCUGGUGGCGAGUGGCGAACGGGUGAGUAAUGUAUCGGAACGUGCCCAGUCGUGGGGGAUAACGUAGCGAAAGCUACGCUAAUACCGCAUACGAUCUGUGGAUGAAAGCGGGGGACCGUAAGGCCUCGCGCGAUUGGAGCGGCCGAUAUCAGAUUAGGUAGUUGGUGGGGUAAAGGCCUACCAAGCCGACGAUCUGUAGCUGGUCUGAGAGGACGACCAGCCACACUGGGACUGAGACACGGCCCAGACUCCUACGGGAGGCAGCAGUGGGGAAUUUUGGACAAUGGGCGCAAGCCUGAUCCAGCAAUGCCGCGUGCAGGAUGAAGGCCUUCGGGUUGUAAACUGCUUUUGUACGGAGCGAAAAGGCUCUCUCUAAUACAGGGGGCUCAUGACGGUACCGUAAGAAUAAGCACCGGCUAACUCUGUGCCAGCAGCCGCAGUAAUAC
rnacentral:rRNA from 1 species